GAGCUCAAAACUUUCAGUAGGACAGCCAGGCGCGGUGGCUGAUGCCUGUAAUCCCAGCACUUUGGGAGGCCGAGAUUCUUGUGCUGUCACUCAGGCUGGAGUGCAACGUUGAAAUCUCGGCUCACUGCAACUUCUGCCUCCCGGAUUCAGGCAAUUCUUGUGUCUCAGCCUCCUAAGAAGCUGAGAUUACAGCAACUCCAAAAUGGAAGUACUAUUGUUAUCUCCGUUUACAAAUUAGGAAACUGAGGCACAGAUAUGCUCUUGGGUACUUGUCAGCAGCAGUUGUUCUACAAGUAAGGCUAAAUAUCUGGAUAUCUUAAAUCUCAGAUGAGCGUCUUAGCCUCUGGAUUACUGCUCAAUGAGGAAAGCUAUGAAAUGCAUGGAUAACUUGCUAAUCAGUAUUUGCCAUAUGUGCUAGCAGCAUCAGCAUCAGUUGGGAGAUUAUGGUGGCCUCCAUGUCAGACCUCCUAAAUCGGAAUAUCAGAGAAGGUGGCCCAGGUUACCAUGCUUCAUCUGCCAAUGCAUUGAAAACUUGGAAUGUAAAUUAAUUCAACCAUUGUGGAAGAUGGUGUAGUGAUUCCUCAAAGACCUAGAAGCAGAAAUAUCAUUUGAUCCAGAAAUCCCAUUACUGUGUAUACACCCAAAGGAAUAUAAACCAUUCUAUUACAAAGAU
rnacentral:lncRNA from 1 species